rnacentral:rRNA from 1 species
UUGACCUCAAAUCAGGUAGGACUACCCGCUGAACUUAAGCAUAUCAAAAGCCGGGAGGAA